UGGGUUUAAAGAUAUAGCGAUUAUAUAGGCUUGUGAUUGGGAUCAAGAAAUGUAUAUGUGCGGGAAAUAUAGCUAGGAGGUUUAAAUUAAUAACCAAGCAUGGAAAUGAGGCCAUGCAUUGGGAAACAUUUGUAUACAACAUGUUCUUCCCGACUUGGAGAUUUGUAAUGUACGUGCAAUAUAUAAUUAUUAACUAAUUACGAGUAUUUUAUACACAGAGAGCUUUAUUGUUGGAAAGUUUUUAUAAUAUUCGAG